rnacentral:miRNA from 1 species
AAACAAUAAAAUAUAUCAUUUUACU